CGGAGCUAACGCGUUAAAUCGACCGCUGGGGAGUACGGCCGCAAGGUUAAAACUCAAAUGAAUUGACGGGGGCCCGCACAAGCGGUGGAGCAUGUGGUUUAAUUCGAUGCAACGCGAAGAACCUUACCUGGUCUUGACAUCCAUAGAAUCUUUCAGAGAUGAGAGAGUGCCUUCGGGAGCUAUGAGACAGGUGCUGCAUGGCUGUCGUCAGCUCGUGUUGUGAAAUGUUGGGUUAAGUCCCGCAACGAGCGCAACCCCUAUCCUUUGUUGCCAGCACGUAAUGGUGGGAACUCAAAGGAGACUGCCGUUGAUAAAGCGGAGGAAGGUGGGGACGACGUCAAGUCAUCAUGGCCCUUACGACCAGGGCUACACACGUGCUACAAUGGCGUAUACAAAGGGAUGCGAAGGUGCGAACUGGAGCGGACCUCACAAAGUACGUCUAAGUCCGGAUUGGAGUCUGCAACUCGACUCCAUGAAGUCGGAAUCGCUAGUAAUCGUGAAUCAGAAUGUCACGGUGAAUACGUUCCCGGGCCUUGUACACACCGCCCGUCACACCAUGGGAGUGGGUUGCACCAGAAGUAGAUAGCUUAACCUUCGGGAGGGCGUUUACCACGGUGUGGUUCAUGACUGGGGUGAAGUCGUAACAAGGUAACCA
rnacentral:rRNA from 1 species